rnacentral:rRNA from 1 species
GGAAAAGAACCUACCAAGGAUUCCCCUAGUAACUGCGAGUGAAGCGGGAAAAGCUCAAAUUUAAAUUCUGGCGGUCUCAGACUGUCCGAGUUGUAAUCUAGAGAAGUGUUAUCCGCGCUGGACCGUGUACAAGUCUCCUGGAAUGGAGCGUCAUAGAGGGUGAGAAUCCCGUCUUUGACACGGACUGCCAGGGCUUUGUGAUGCGCUCUCAAAGAGUCGAGUUGUUUGGGAAUGCAGCUCAAAAUGGGUGGUAAAUUCCAUCUAAAGCUAAAUAUUGGCGAGAGACCGAUAGCGAACAAGUACCGUGAGGGAAAGAUGAAAAGAACUUUGGAAAGAGAGUUAAACAGUACGUGAAAUUGCUGAAAGGGAAACGCUUGAAGUCAGUCGCGUUGGCCAGGGAUCAACCUUGCUCUUGCUGGGUGUACUUCCUGGUUAACGGGUCAACAUCAAUUUUGAUUGUUGGAAAAAGAUCAAGGGAAUGUGGCAUCUUCGGAUGUGUUAUAGCCUUUGGUUGUAUACAACAAUUGGGAUUGAGGAACUCAGCACGCCGAAAGGCCGGGUUUUUAACCACGUUCGUGCUUAGGAUGUUGGCAUAAUGGCUUUAAUCGACCCGUCUUGAAACACGGACCAAGGAGUCUAACAUGCCUGCGAGUGUUUGGGUGGAAAACCCGAGCGCGUAAUGAAAGUGAAAGUUGAGAUCCCUGUCGUGGGGAGCAUCGACGCCCGGACCAGAAAUUUAUGGACGGUUCCGCGGUAGAGCAUGUAUGUUGGGACCCGAAAGAUGGUGAACUAUGCCUGAAUAGGGUGAAGCCAGAGGAAACUCUGGUGGAGGCUCGUAGCGAUUCUGACGUGCAAAUCGAUCGUCAAAUUUGGGUAUAGGGGCGAAAGACUAAUCGAACC